AACGAACGCUGGCGGCAUGCCUAACACAUGCAAGUCGAACGGGAACUUCGGGUCGACUGCCGCCGGGGGGCGAAACGCGUGGGAACACGUCCUUACGUUCGCAGUAACUCCCCGAAAGGGGUGCUAAUAUCGGCUAAUGUCUCCUGCGCAAAGAUUUGUCGCGCUUGGAUUGGCCCGCGUUUGCUCAUCUCGUUGGUCGGGUGAAAGCCUACCAAGGCGACGAUCAAUAGCUGGUCUGAGAGGAUGAUCAGCCACACUGGGACUGAGACACGGCCCAGACUCCUACGGGAGGCAGCAGUGGGGAAUAUUGGACAAUGGGCGAAAGCCUGAUCCAGCAAUGCCGCGUGAGUGAUGAAGGCCUUAGGGUUGUAAAGCUCUUUUACCCGGGAGGAUAAUGACGGUACCGGGAGAAUAAGCUCCGGCUAACUCCGUG
rnacentral:rRNA from 1 species